rnacentral:lncRNA from 10 species
UGAGGACUGUGGCCAUAAACAGGAUCAAGAAGAAGACAUUUACUUUCUCCAAAGUGAUCCAUAGGGAAGUGCUGCAUAGAGAAUUAGAUCAUCCAAACAUCUGCAGAUUCACUGGAGGCUGUAUUGCACUGCCAGAUGUGGUUAUUGUGAUGGAAUACUGCCCAAAGGGAAGCUUGAUGGAUGUUCUGCUCAAUGAUAACAUCUCUUUCAACUGGGGCCAGGUUUUCUUUGCCUGGACGUUGCAUAAGGAAUGGCCUAUCUUCAUCAGUGCAAAAUGUACCGUGGGAAGCUAAAAUCUACUGACUAUGUGAUUGAUGGUUGCUGAGUUUGUAAAAUUUAACUUUGGUUUGCAAUUGUACAGAAAAUAAGAUUUCAAUGCAUGAUGUGGUUCAUACCAACAGUGCCUGAAACAGAUGCAUCUGGCCCCAGCAUUUAGGAAUGGAAAUUACUUCUCAGCUACCUCUGCUGACAUUUUGCAGCUGCUGUCAUUUUGUUGGAGAUCGCCACAUCCAGUGACCCAGUCUCAGUAAGACUCUAUUUAUGUCUCCCUCUUGAGUUGCUGAUCACAGGGAAGCCUGAGAAUCACUAUCCUUGCCCCUCAGACUUAUUAGGAGGUGCAGGAAAAACAGCUCAUACCAAAGACCUGUGUUUCAGCAAAUAAAGAAGCUUUAAACAAAAUAAAUCCCAACAAAGAUAGUGUGCCAUACAUGAUGAUGCCCUUAGAUGGAGAAGUACAGCAAACACCUGAAAGCAUUGUGGCAGAAAGGACCCAUGACCUAAUGCAUGAAAAACACAAAACGGACCACCUGCUCUGUGCUACUGAAACAAGUUGUUGAUGACCUAAGACAAGGCCAACCUGCCUGGCUCAGAGAUACCUGAGUGUGUCCAUCUAUUCCAGUGACAUAGUAGGCUUCCCUCGACUUUCUACAUCAGCACACUGUAUCAGGUAGUGGACUUCCUGGACAAGCUCUAUACCACCUUUGGGAAAAAUUAUAGACCAUUAUGAUGUCUACAACAUGGAGACGAUGGGAAAAUAUGGUGGCAUCUAGGGUGCACAAGGCCAAAGGGAUCCUCCAUGCUAGGGAAAUAGCAAACAUGGCCCUGGACCUAGUACCUGUGCAGAAAACUUUUGAGAUUCCACAUAAGUCCAAUGUCCACCCGAAAAUAUGUGCUGGGAUCCACUC